rnacentral:rRNA from 1 species
UCAGCUCGUGCUGUGAAGUGUCGGGUUAAGUCCCUUAACGAGCGCAACCCCUAUCGCUAGUUGCCAGCGGAUAAUGCCGGGGACUCUAGCGAGACUGCCGGUGUCAAACCGGAGGAAGGUGGGGAUGACGUCAAGUCCUCAUGGCCCUUAUGUCCAGGGUGGCAAACGUGCUACAAUGGCGUGUACAGAGCGACGCGAGAUCGCAAGAUGGAGCAAAUCGCAAAAAGCACGCCCCAGUUCGGAUUGCAGGCUGAAACUCGCCUGCAUGAAGUCGGAAUCGCUAGUAAUCGGAGAUCAGCCACGCUCCGGUGAAUACGUUCCUGAGCCUUGUACACACCGCCCGUCACGUCAUGGAAGCUGGGAGCGCCCGAAGUCACCACGGUUCAGUGGUGCCUACGGUGAGACCGGUGACUGGGACGAAGUCGUAACAAGGUAGCCGUAGGAGAACCUGCGGCUGGAUCACCUCCUUUCUAAGG